GGGCUGGUAGCUCAGUUGGUUGGAGCACCGCCAUAUAUAGGCAGAGGUCCUGAGUUCAAUACCUGGCUGGUCCA
rnacentral:tRNA from 1 species